rnacentral:tRNA from 1 species
GGGGUUGUGGCUCAGGGGUAGAGUGCAUGCUUAGCAUGCAUGAGGCACUGGGUUUGAUCCCUGGCACCACA